rnacentral:rRNA from 1 species
GACGGGUCAAAGUCGUAACAAGGUAUCUGUAGGUGAACCUGCAGAUGGAUCA